UGCCUUUCAGGGUAGCACCUGGAGAGUUUCCAGUCCUCUACCAGCCUCAACUACAGGAGGGAGAGUCAAGCAGAGGCCUACCCAUUCCAUUCCUAGAUUGGGCAGUGGCUAGUGAAUAGAAGGCAAUCUGCUAUAAGU
rnacentral:snoRNA from 1 species